CGCACAUUGCGCUCUCCGGUAGCCCGGGGAGCAUGCCUGUUCGAGCGUCAUUUUAGACCAUCAAGCACUGCUUGGUCUUGGGUAUAUGUCGUCUAUCAACUGGAAACAGUGAUAGACGUGCCCUAAAUCAGUCGGCGACCGAGUCAAGCGCCAAACGUAGUGGAAUUAUUUUAACCGUUUCAGGAAGCUUCGACUUGCUCUGCCACUAAUGACACAAACAACCUCAAGGUUGACCUCGGAUCAGGUAAGGAUACCCGCUGAACUUAA
rnacentral:misc_RNA from 1 species